UAGAGAACCGUGGUUAAGGAACUAGGCAAAUUGACACCGUAACUUCGGGAUAAGGUGUGCCUCCGAGGUGGAGCAGAACAUGCCGAGCCAGAAGAGGUCGCAGAGAAUAGGGGGUAGCGACUGUUUACCAAAAACACAGGACUGUGCGAAGUCACGAAGACGACGUAUACGGUCUGACGCCUGCCCGGUGCUGGAAGGUUAAGAGGAGAGGUUAGACGCAAGUCGAAGCUUUGAAUCGAAGCCCCAGUAAACGGCGGCCGUAACAAUAACGGUCCUAAGGUAGCGAAAUUCCUUGUCGGGUAAGUUCCGACCUGCACGAAUGGCGUAACGACUUCCCCGCUGCCUCAACCAUGGACUCAGUGAAAUUGAAUUCUCGGUGAAGAUGCCGAGUACCCGCGGCAAGACGGAAAGACCCCGUGAACCUUUACUAUAACUUGACAGUGGUAUUCGGGUGGAUCUGUGUAGGAUAGGUGGGAGACUUCGAAGCGGGUGCGCCAGCAUCCGUGGAGUCAUCGUUGAAAUACCACCCUGGUCCCCCUGGAUGCCUAACGUGGGCGGCUGAAGCGUCGUCACGGACACUGUCUGGUGGGUAGUUUGACUGGGGCGGUCGCCUCCCAAAAAGUAACGGAGGCGCACAAAGGUUCCCUCAGCCUGAUUGGAAACCAGGCGAAGAGUGCAAAGGCAGAAGGGAGCUUGACUGCGAGACCUACAAGUCGAGCAGGUGCGAGAGCAGGUCUUAGUGAUCCGGUGGUUCUGCGUGGAAGGGCCAUCGCUUAACGGAUAAAAGGUACUCCGGGGAUAACAGGCUUAUCUCCCCCAAGAGUUCACAUCGACGGGGAGGUUUGGCACCUCGAUGUCGGCUCAUCGCAUCCUGGGGCUGGAGCAGGUCCCAAGGGUUUGGCUGUUCGCCAAUUAAAGCGGUACGCGAGCUGGGUUCAGAACGUCGUGAGACAGUUCGGUCCCUAUCUGCCGUGGGCGCAGGAGUUUUGAGAGGAGCUGUCCCUAGUACGAGAGGACCGGGAUGGACUGACCUCUGGUGCACCAGUUGUCGCGCCAGUGGCAUAGCUGGGUAGCUAAGUUGGGACGGGAUAACCGCUGAAAGCAUCUAAGCGGGAAGCCCACCUCAAGAUAAGAACUCCCAGGGGUAACCCUCUGAAGGCCCGUCGUAGACUACGACGUUGAUAGGCUGGGUGUGUAAGCGUCGGAAAAGGCGUUGAGCUAACCAGUACUAAUAGGCCGUGUGGCUUGACU
rnacentral:rRNA from 1 species